rnacentral:rRNA from 1 species
AUACUGAGGGUGCAAGCGUUAAUCGGAAUUACUGGGCGUAAAGCGCACGUAGGCGGUUUAUUAAGUCAGAUGUGAAAGCCCUGGGCUUAACCUGGGAACUGCAUUUGAGACUGGUAGGCUAGAGUAUGGUAGAGGAUAGUGGAAUUCCGGGUGUAGCGGUGAAAUGCGUAGAUAUCCGGAGGAACAUCAGUGGCGAAGGCGGCUAUCUGGACCAAUACUGACGCUGAGGUGCGAAAGCGUGGGGAGCAAACAGGAUUAGAUACCCGAGUAGUCC